rnacentral:tRNA from 2 species
GCCCGUGUGGCGAAAUUGGUCAUCGCACCCGACUCUUAAUCGGGCGAUUGCGGGUUCGAGUCCCGCCAUGGGCU